rnacentral:rRNA from 1 species
UACAGAGGGGGCAGGCGUUGUUCGGAAUUACUGGGCGUAAAGGGCGCGUAGGCGGCCUGCUAAGUCGAACGUGAAAUCCCUGGGCUCAACCCAGGAACUGCGUCCGAUACUGGUUGGCUUGAAUCCGGGAGAGGGACGUGGAAUUCCAGGUGUAGCGGUGAAAUGCGUAGAUAUCUGGAGGAACACCGGUGGCGAAGGCGACGUCCUGGACCGGCAUUGACGCUGAGGCGCGAAAGCCAGGGGAGCAAACGGG